CCCCAGGUCUUUACUUUACAAUCGGCAAUUUGACUUGCUCUGCUGCAUGUCUGGAGGGACCAAGGAAAGUGUGGAGACGCUCCAAGGAUUAGGUGAUCGGAGCUUGAAAAGAAAAAAAGCCAAACAAAUAAACAAAACCCACCCACCCUAACAAAUAUGAGGCUGCUGGAGAGAAUGAGGAAAGACUGGUUCAUGGUCGGAAUAGUGCUGGCGAUCGCUGGAGCUAAACUGGAGCCGUCCAUAGGGGUGAAUGGGGGACCACUGAAGCCAGAAAUAACUGUAUCCUACAUUGCUGUUGCAACAAUAUUCUUUAACAGUGGACUAUCAUUGAAAACAGAGGCAGCUGCAAUAUUUAAUUCAGCCUUUGGAAGUUUUUUGGGCAUCGUUAUAACACCCCUGCUCCUGCUGCUUUUU
rnacentral:lncRNA from 1 species